AACGAACGCUGGCGGCAUGCCUAACACAUGCAAGUCGAACGAGACCUUCGGGUCUAGUGGCGCACGGGUGCGUAACGCGUGGGAACCUGCCCUUAGGUUCGGAAUAACUCCCCGAAAGGGGUGCUAAUACCGGAUAAUGUCUUCGGACCAAAGAUUUAUCGCCUUUGGAUGGGCCCGCGUUGGAUUAGCUAGUUGGUAGGGUAAAAGCCUACCAAGGCGACGAUCCAUAGCUGGUCUGAGAGGAUGAUCAGCCACACUGGGACUGAGACACGGCCCAGACUCCUACGGGAGGCAGCAGUGGGGAAUAUUGGACAAUGGGCGAAAGCCUGAUCCAGCAAUGCCGCGUGAGUGAUGAAGGCCUUAGGGUUGUAAAGCUCUUUUACCCGGGAUGAUAAGGACAGGACCGGGAGAAUAAGCUCCGGCGAACUCCGU
rnacentral:rRNA from 1 species